AUAAGAAAGUGGAGAAAAUCAUGCAAGGAUUGCCUUCUUUUUAAUAUGUCGAAAAGCCCCCAAAUAAGAGGUAAAAGCAUCGUAGGUGACCCACACUUGCUGCAAUUGCUGAGCAAGUCUGAUCCCCAGAUACCUGAGGAGAGUGUCACAGUGUGUUUGGUAACUGUGCAAUUUGGGAAUACCUGAGUUCUUCACUGCUUCUCUGUCUGGCCACUCUGAUGGAAGGGGUAAUGCCUGCAGACAUGAAGUGAGAACAGAUUGCUGAUGAGCUGCCUUGUGCUCUUUAGAUUUUAGUUUUCUGUGGAUUUUACUUGCCUGGACUGCCUACAGUUGUUUGUGCGCAGACAGGGUGGUUAUGUGCAAAUUCCCGUUAGACUUCUACCAGAAAACCCUUUAGGAGGACAGAGAAGAUGUUCCUCAGGUUUACUGGUCUGAAAACAAAUGGUUUGUGUGUGAGUCUGUGGCACAGUGGCUGUCCAUGGAUCACCCACUCCCUGCUGCCUUGGGGCACGGUCUGACAAAUCGUGUGUUCUUACUGUGCCACCACGUUAAACCCUCGCGUUGUUCCUUGGGCUGCAGUCUGGAGACAGAAGUCAGAAGACAUUUCAUUGGUUGAAUAUAUGUGGAAUGAAAACUAUUGCCAUUUGAGAGCAGCAUCUCACAGGGGGAAGGGAAGGAGGGAGGGCACAGGAGGAGUGUGUUGAUUGGGACUGACAUGCGCCUUAAUAUCUGAUGUGGCUUUCACACUUGGAAAUAUUCAGGACUCCAUAUGUUCCAAAAACCCCACUGAACAGUGCAUAUAACAUUGCCUUUAUCAUUCUUUAAUCUCAGUUUAAUUGCUGUGGUCAAAUUACCCCACACUUAAUAACCCACAGCUUGGUAUAUUAUUUAAUAUGGUUGACACAUACUUUGUUUUAAAUGUCAGUGCUGGUAAAGCCCUGGAGUUGGCAAUGCUGUGCAUGAUAGAUGGCAGAGGAGACGGAUCAUCUGUUCUUUGUCUGAGCUGUUGUUCUGCACUGGAAAGCAGAGGGGAUAUUGGAUUUCCUUUCAUCACAAUGACAAGUCAGGGAAACAUCUGUUUUAAACAAAAUGUGCAAAAGGUUUGAAAAACAAUUAAGGUGGGUUUUUUGGCAUUUUUUGUUUAUGUCUGUUAAGCACUGGUUUUUAUUAAAAUAAAAUUUAUGAGUAUAAUAUGAAGAGAAGACA
rnacentral:lncRNA from 1 species